rnacentral:lncRNA from 1 species
GCCUGUUGUUUUUGACUGAAGAAAGGUUUGAAGCAGGUUGUGGAGCUAGACAAAAAAGAAAAAAAUCACUGUCCUCAUGGAAGUUAAAUUGUACUGACAAAGGAGGAAAAUGUCAGGGAGUUAACAAUUCAGUCUCUGUGGCUUCCUCCUGUCCUCUCCCUGAAACUGAGAUCCAGCCAAUCUGCACAUCUAUUCUGAGAGUGGCCCCGCUUUAAUGACUACACCCAGCUGUCUACACACCAGGAGGGGAGGGAACUGCAUCCUGAGGCACCAACCCGAUUACCC